rnacentral:tRNA from 1 species
GAGGGUAUAGCUCAAGUGGUAGAGUGCAUGCUUAGCAUGUGUGAGGUUCUGGGUUCAAUCCCCAGCACCAUCU